CCUACGGGAGGCUGCAGUGGGGAAUAUUGGACAAUGGGCGAAAGCCUGAUCCAGCCAUGCCGCGUGUGUGAAGAAGGCCUUCGGGUUGUAAAGCACUUUCAGUGGGGAAGAAAGCCUUGGGGUUAAUACCCUCGAGGAAGGACAUCACCCACAGAAGAAGCACCGGCUAACUCCGUGCCAGCAGCCGCGGUAAUACGGAGGGUGCGAGCGUUAAUCGGAAUUACUGGGCGUAAAGCGCGCGUAGGCGGUCUGAUAAGCCGGUUGUGAAAGCCCCGGGCUCAACCUGGGAACGGCAUCCGGAACUGUCAGGCUAGAGUGCAGGAGAGGAAAGUAGAAUUCCCGGUGUAGCGGUGAAAUGCGUAGAGAUCGGGAGGAAUACCAGUGGCGAAGGCGACCUUCUGGACUGACACUGACGCUGAGGUGCGAAAGCGUGGGUAGCAAACAGGAUUAGAUACCCGGGUAGUC
rnacentral:rRNA from 1 species